UGGGGGAUAUUGCACAAUGGGCGAAAGCCUGAUGCAGCAACGCCGCGUGAGGGAAGACGGUUUUCGGAUUGUAAACCUCUGUCUUCGGUGAAGAAACAAAUGACGGUAGCCGAGGAGGAAGCCACGGCUAACUACGUGCCAGCAGCCGCGGUAAUACGUAGGUGGCGAGCGUUGUCCGGAAUUACUGGGUGUAAAGGGAGCGCAGGCGGGAAGAUAAGUCAGCUGUGAAAACUAUGGGCUUAACCCGUAAACUGCAGUUGAAACUGUUUUUCUUGAGUGGGGUAGAGGUAGGCGGAAUUCCGAGUGUAGCGGUGAAAUGCGUAGAUAUUCGGAGGAACACCAGUGGCGAAGGCGGCCUACUGGGCUCUAACUGACGCUGAGGCUCGAAAGUGUGGGGAGCAAACA
rnacentral:rRNA from 1 species